rnacentral:rRNA from 1 species
AGUGAACGCUGGCGGUAGGCCUAACACAUGCAAGUCGAACGGCAGCACAGUAAGAGCUUGCUCUUACGGGUGGCGAGUGGCGGACGGGUGAGGAAUACAUCGGACUCUACUUUUUCGUGGGGGAUAACGUAGGGAAACUUACGCUAAUACCGCAUACGACCUACGGGUGAAAGCAGGGGAUCUUCGGACCUUGCGCGAUUGAACGAGCCGAUGUCGGAUUAGCUAGUUGGCGGGGUAAUGGCCCACCAAGGCGACGAUCCGUAGCUGGUCUGAGAGGAUGAUCAGCCACACUGGAACUGAGACACGGUCCAGACUCCUACGGGAGGCAGCAGUGGGGAAUAUUGGACAAUGGGCGCAAGCCUGAUCCAGCCAUACCGCGUGGGUGAAGAAGGCCUUCGGGUUGUAAAGCCCUUUUGUUGGGAAAGAAAAGCAGCAGGUUAAUACCCCGCUGUUCUGACGGUACCCAAAGAAUAAGCACCGGCUAACUUCGUG